ensembl:lncRNA
CUUUUUUGUUUUUUAUGCCUAAAAUGUUGUUUUGUGUUAAACUCCGUGUUUGAACGUUUAAAGCGCUGCUGUCCCGCUGUAUGAAUGCGUUUCAACUGAACAGCCAGGUCUAUAUAUAAGGUCGGUUUCUUUGUAACGUCACCAGUCAAAGGACUGGCCCGGCUCGUCAUAACGAAAGGGGGCGGGACAAAUCUGUUGCUUAGCAACUGAAAAAAAGGCACACCGCGCUGAAUGCUACAUCCGUCCUGCGACGGUACACCGCCUCCGCACCACCGAUUAAACAUGAAGUGUGGAUGUUAGAAGAUCCCAAAUAUGUCAGGACCCAGAUGAACCUGUGCUGGAAUUCAGUGUGGGCUUUCUACUUACAGGGUGGUGGUUCUCAGAGGACAAUUGCUACCCCUGUUGAAGUGAACAACGUGUGGAGUGCAACUGGCUUUGUGGCAUAGCUGGCUCUGGCCUUGGACUGUGUGUUUUUACUUUGUACCUAAAUGGGACACUGGACUUUUAACUAUUAUUCAUUGUGUUUAUAAAUAAAAUUUUAGAAUUUUAUUGACUGUCAUCUUUUUGCCCACGGCGGAGACGGUUGGUCAGACCUAGAAUCUCUUUAUGUGUGUGUGUGUGUAACAUCAGCAGGGUUUCGCAUAAAAGAGUGUGAGCAGGUCAAAAGGUCAAUUCAUUUAUUGUAGUUUUAUGGCAGCACCUUCUAGUGGCCUUGAAGCAAACAGUCUCCUAACUAAGCCAUGGCAUCUCCGGUCUCUCCUACUUUUGUGUGCUGUGCUGGAGGAGCAGCAUUGGAUCUAGUGAUACUGAGUAAGCUGAUUAGGACCGGCCUGGAGAAAUGUGGUUUGCAUGAAGUAUCAGGAGAAAAACAACCUUGUAUUGUAAAAUAAUAAUACACGAAUAAUAAAUACUUUUCAUGACAUUCAGAUUUCUGGAC